GACGAACGCUGGCGGCGUGCCUAAUACAUGCAAGUAGAACGCACAGUUUAUACCGUAGCUUGCUACACCAUAGACUGUGAGUUGCGAACGGGUGAGUAACGCGUAGGUAACCUGCCUGGUAGCGGGGGAUAACUAUUGGAAACGAUAGCUAAUACCGCAUAAUAUUGAUUAUUGCAUGAUAAUUGAUUGAAAGAUGCUAUUGCAUCACUACCAGAUGGACCUGCGUUGUAUUAGCUAGUAGGUGAGGUAACGGCUCACCUAGGCGACGAUACAUAGCCGACCUGAGAGGGUGAGCGGCCACACUGGGACUGAGACACGGCCCAGACUCCUACGGGAGGCAGCAGUAGGGAAUCUUCGGCAAUGGACGAAAGUCUGACCGAGCAACGCCGCGUGAGUGAAGAAGGGUGUCGGAUCGUAAAGCUCUGUUGUAAGAGAAGAACGGGUGUGAGAGUGGAAAGUUCACACUGUGACGGUAUCUUACCAGAAAGGGACGGCUAACUACGUG
rnacentral:rRNA from 1 species